rnacentral:rRNA from 1 species
UACGUAGGGGGCAAGCGUUGUCCGGAAUCAUUGGGCGUAAAGAGCGUGUAGGCGGCCAGAUAAGUCCGCUGUGAAAUCUCGAGGCUCAACUUCGAGCUGUCGGUGGAAACUGUCUGGCUAGAGUCCGGAAGAGGAGAAUGGAAUUCCUGGUGUAGCGGUGAAAUGCGCAGAUAUCAGGAGGAACACCGGUGGCGAAGGCGGCUUUCUGGACAGAUACCGACGCUGAGGCACGAAAGCUAGGGGAGCAAACAGG